ACAGAACCUGUGUGCAAGAGCUAGGUGAAGGACCUCUAGCACUAGGGAGCUCUGUCCACUUCUCUGAGGAAGUGAGGCCACGUGUGGGGUACCGCAACCAAUUCAUCAUUGCCUUCUCCAGCUGCUGGAGACAGGGCACCGGAGGGUGCACUCCAGGUUCAGAUUAUCAUACAGGGCAAGCUGUUUUGUAAUUUUAAAAGGUAGGUCUUGAAAUGGCUGUUAAGUUAUGCUGGCAUGUGCUCUCUCUCUCUCUCUCUCUCUCUCCCCCUCCCCUUCUUCUUCUUCUCCUCCCUUGAUCUCUCCCUUUCAACCCCAUCUCCC
rnacentral:lncRNA from 1 species